UAGCCAUGUGCGCCUAACACAAGAAAGACGAGAAGAAGUAAGUCAUACUAAAAACGGAUAGCAAGUGAAAGCUAAACCAGACUAUCAAUCACAUACUUUGGGUCCAUUCUAACUUAUGGCGGCGGCCAUGUGUUUAUUUCCCCAUGGAGGCCGUCGACAUCCUGCUAGGAGUCGGAGGCUUCCCAGCGCCGAUCUCAAACGGCCCAUACGAUACACGAUCAUCAGGAGACCAUGAUGAGACUACCAUAGAAACACCCUAUUACACAGGACGUUACUCAUGGCUGCAGCCUCUCAAACCCUCAUCGCUGCUCUUUAAGAGGGAUUCCCCCUCCUAAAGCUGCUCCUCAUCGCACUCAUUAACCACCGUGACCCACUGGAACCCAGCAGGACCAUGAUACAGUCUGGACACUGUUCUGGAUCCUGCUCAUCUGGUUCCUGUCCCCUGACCCCAGACACCCGGGCAACCCUUCCCCUAAACACCCCUGCUAAGGACAAUCCAUUGGAAGCUAAAAAGGAAUAAAUACCUCCCACGCCUUCACCAAAAUCAAGAGAACAGAAG
ensembl:lncRNA